rnacentral:rRNA from 1 species
GUACCUACGGGCGGCUGCAGUGGGGAAUUUUGGACAAUGGGGGCAACCCUGAUCCAGCCAUGCCGCGUGCGGGAAGAAGGCCUUCGGGUUGUAAACCGCUUUUGGCAGGAACGAAACGGUGCGGGCGAAUACCCUGUGCUAAUGACGGUACCUGCAGAAUAAGCACCGGCUAACUACGUGCCAGCAGCCGCGGUAAUACGUAGGGUGCGAGCGUUAAUCGGAAUUACUGGGCGUAAAGCGUGCGCAGGCGGUUGUGCAAGACGGGUGUGAAAUCCCCGGGCUUAACCUGGGAACUGCAUUUGUGACUGCACGGCUAGAGUUUGUCAGAGGGGGGUGGAAUUCCACGUGUAGCAGUGAAAUGCGUAGAUAUGUGGAAGAACACCGAUGGCGAAGGCAGCCCCCUGGGAUGAGACUGACGCUCAUGCACGAAAGCGUGGGGAGCAAACAGGAUUAGAUACCCUAGUAGUCUGC